rnacentral:rRNA from 1 species
GUCUCUUUGAAAAUAUUGUUAAGUAUAAGGAGUCAGACCUGCCCGGUGACUAAGUGUUAAACGGCCGCGGUACCCUAACCGUGCAAAGGUAGCAUAAUCAUUUGCCUUUUAAUUGGAGGCUGGUAUGAAUGGUUCGACGAGAGCCAAGCUGUCUCUUCUUUAGAUUAUUUAAAAAUUAACUUUUAGGUGAAGAGGCCUAAAUAUGUUUAAGGGACAAGAAGACCCUGUUGAGCUUUAGUGAUUUUGUGGGCGUAGGUUUAUAAAUCUUACGGUUAAAGUAUAGAUUUAGCACAUAAUUAAUCUUUAGUUGGGGCGACUGAGGAACAUAAAAAGCUUCCUUUAAAAAUUGUUUCGUAAGAAAUUAUAUAAUUAAAAUAAUAUUCUGUCAUGUUAAAGUUGAUCCAGAUUUAUUUGAUUAAAGGAAUAAGUUACCACAGGGAUAACAGCGUAAUCUUUCUGGGGAGAUCUAAUCGAAAGAAGGGUUUGCGACCUCGAUGUUGGACUAAGAUAUCCUAAAGGUGCAGAAGCUUUUGAGGGUUGGUCUGUUCGACUAUUAAAAUCUU